rnacentral:tRNA from 9 species
UCCUCUGUAGUUCAGUCGGUAGAACGGCGGACUGUUAAUCCGUAUGUCACUGGUUCGAGUCCAGUUAGAGGAGCCA